CUCAAACCUCUCAGUGCUUUGUCGCAGCAGUCAAAGCUUUCAACAUGACUCAUACUCAAAUCAAGGUGUCGAAGCUUUGCCAGUUUCUCCAAACAGCCAGAGCCCAGCUGCAGGACCGGCAAGUUCCCCUUGAUGUUGAGUAGAGAAAGGCGUGAUGAAAACGUACUGGAUUCAGCAAAUGGUCCCCAGCACGAUGUGGAGAUGACAGGCUACAAGCUCCAGUGACGUGGAUGCUUCCUCAAACUUCCUAUAUCGGAAACCUCAGAUUUAAGAUAAAUAUGUUGUUUCAGAAGAAAAGUCCUUUAAAUCAGUAUGGGAUAUCAGCUGAAGGUAGUUCUGCUUGUUCCUGCAGUGCAAGUGCAUUACUAUGUGUUGUGGAAAUUCUGUGUGACAUAAAGGGGUAUAAAUAUCUCCAGAAAUUUAUUUUGUGAUGGAGGUGGCUUUGAGAAAAUGGGAAGCUUUAUGAUGCAAAUAAAU